rnacentral:rRNA from 1 species
UACAGAGGGGGCAAGCGUUAUUCGGAAUUAUUGGGCGUAAAGGGCGCGUAGGCGGCCUGGCAAGUGGGAGGUGAAAUCCCUCGGCUUAACCGAGGAACUACCCUCCAAACUGCUUGGCUUGAGUCCGGGAGAGGUGAGUGGAAUUCCCAGUGUAGCGGUGAAAUGCGUAGAUAUCAGGAGGAACACCGGUGGUGUAGACGGCUCUCUGGACCGUAACUGACGCUGAGACACGAAAGCGUGGGUAGCAAACAGG